UACGUAGGGCGCAAGCGUUGUCCGGAAUUAUUGGGCGUAAAGAGCUCGUAGGCGGCUUGUUACGUCGGGUGUGAAAGCCCGGGGCUUAACCCCGGGUCUGCAUUCGAUACGGGCUAGCUAGAGUGUGGUAGGGGAGAUCGGAAUUCCUGGUGUAGCGGUGAAAUGCGCAGAUAUCAGGAGGAACACCGGUGGCGAAGGCGGAUCUCUGGGCCAUUACUGACGCUGAGGCGCGAAAGCGUGGGGAGCGAACAGG
rnacentral:rRNA from 1 species